UACGUAGGGGGCGAGCGUUGUCCGGAGUUACUGGGCGUAAAGAGCGCGUAGGCGGGUCUUUAAGUGAGGGGUGAAAGGUUCAGGGCUCAACCCGAACACUGCCUUUCAUACUGGGGACCUUGAGUGCGGGAGAGGCGAGUGGAAUGGUCGGUGUAGCGGUGAAAUGCGUAGAUAUCGAUCGGAACACCCAUGGCGAAGGCAGCUCGCUGGCCUGCAACUGACGCUGAGGCGCGAAAGCGUGGGGAGCAAACAGG
rnacentral:rRNA from 1 species